rnacentral:lncRNA from 1 species
CGUCCUACGUCAUCAGCACCGCGCGCCGCCCAAGGUCCGAGCCGUUGGUGAGAGGAGCGGGCUGACGGUUACGCGGGUAGCUGUUGCCGCUGUGGGGGAAAAAAAAAAGUGAGGAUGCCACUCUGGGACGUCCCUGUGGGCCGCACCGAAGCCCGCGAGCCCGGGGAACGGCAGAUGUCACCUCACGCCCGACUCCCGGUGGGCUGAGGGACUCUGUGCCCUUGUCACACUUCCUUCUCGGAGGGCUUGGACGGUGCUCUUCGCCGCCACCUCUGUUCCCGCCCGCCUUGUCAUCGUGCCUGCUGGGCGGAUUUUCCGGGCUCUGGCACCCAGUCAGCCUGUGAGUGCGGAGUCGCCCCCAGCUUGCCACCAGGGAAGUCAGAUGAUGCUGUCUUCUGUUGGUUACUUCAUAGCACUUCCAUUUUCAAAGAACAUCUUCCUGAGAAUAAACUUGGAAAGUAAUGUGACCACAAAACAUCAUAUUCACAGAGUUCAAAGGGAUAUUGGAUACAGAAUAAGAAAAUAUGAGAGAUUAAAACUCAGGAGUUGAGUUCUAGCCUGGAAAACAAGAUGAGAGAACUUUCCAGCCUGCACCAAUGUUCACAGUUCUGAUUGAAUUACAAAAUUUUUCUUCUUUUGAACUCAGAAGUCACUUGGAAACUUUGAGGGAAGUUUCACCACAUCCUUUAAGCCUUUCUUCUGGUUAGCAGGGGAGAUCCAUUAGAACUUAGAGAAAUAUCCCAGCCUCCAGUAUCAGUAGCCUUGCCAGCCUACCCCUAGGAUGCCUGGCCAGGCUUCAUUGUCAGUGUGGUUCACGGUCACAGUUUUACCUUCAGCUAGCCAUAUUUUCCUGGAUGGUCUUAAACUAUUUGCUGAGUUUGGGUUUUUUGUUUUGUCUUAUUGGAUUUUGUUUGUUUGGUUUGUUUGUUUGUUUUGCAGAGAGUUUUCAGACUUUCUGUUAGGUAAAUUUUAAAUUACCAUUAAGAAAUGCUUUCCAAGUUGUGCAUUGCCAAGUAACUGCUUCUCACUAUUCUAGUUUCGUUGGAAUUUUGGUAUUUUUAUUUUGUGUCUUGAUCUUUGGACACGAACCACACCAUUAUUAGUUUCUACUAGAGAUAUUUGUGUGUGUGGCAUGUGUACUUGAUCAUGUGUAUGUCUGCACAUAACGUGCACAUAGGUGUAGAGGACAGAGGUUGACUUUGGGUGUUUUCCUCCAUCACUCUUCCUCCUUAGGUUUUCACCGAAGGUCUCUCACUGAACCUGUGAUUCAUCAGUUCAGACAGGCUGGCUAGCCAGCAAGUUUCCAAGAUCUACAUGUCUGCCCUCUCAGGCCUGGGGUUAUCAGCCAUAUUAGAUGAGCACUUUACUAACUGAAUCAUCUACUACACCCUGUGGAAACAAUGUAUCCAGGGGAUUUUUAUCUGGGGCUUUCUUAUUCAUCUACUUUAUCUUCUUUCUAAGUAUCCUUUCCUGGCAUUUGUUACAUCACAGGCUUUUGUAUCUGUAUUUCUUGACUCCUUCCUAGUUAUUUCAGUCCUGCUUUCCCUUUUUUGUUAUCUUAGCCGGGACUCUUAAAGCGUGUGUGGGCAGCUGCUCCUCUGUGGCCUUUAUGGGCCUCUCCUCUUGAGAAAGUACUUUAUUAAGGCAAACCGCAGCUCCUGUCAGUCAGUCAGUUUCAGGGCUACAAGUACUACUUAUCAUUCUCCUCCAUAGUCAAUGCAAGUUCUAUGUCCCUUAGGUUGUUUCUUCCAUAAGCCUAAGGGCUUUGCUUGUAUGACCCAAAUCCUCAUUCCUGAAUUUAAAAAAAAAAAUGUGUAUCAGUAAUUAUUUAUAUCUUACUCUGGAAUUGCUGCACAUAUCCUUCCAAAUUACAAUUUGGAAUCAAAAUGUUCCCAGAUCAGUUACCUAUAUGUUUUUCUCUGCCUACCAUCAUUUUGGUUUCCUAUUGCUCUAGCUCAGUUACCACUGCCAAGAUGGGAAAUCCUUGCCUGCUCAUACCUGGAUCCAGAGUUCAAAAUCAAAAUGGCUCUAACAUAGUCUAGUGGGACUCUUAUUGUGUCUCCUGGCAGAAAUGCAUCCCAUUUGGAAGCCAGGACUUUUAUACCUUCAGUGUACAGAGUUAUGGGGACUGGAAAGUGUUCCCUAACAAGUCAGUAGGACUGGUGUUCAGUGGGGUCAUUUCUGCUUUCUCUGUUUUGUUCUUGGAACCAUGUGUUUGUUCUUAGUAGGGAUAAUAAUCCAAGCCAGUGUAUGUACUACUUCCUGAAGGAUGGCAUUUAAUCCUUAUGAAACCCUGCUUCUGAACUGGCACUUCAGUUAUACCAUUAUUACAUUGAAAGCAAACAUUAAACAGCUAGGUCAGAAACACUGAGGAAGGUAAAUAAGAAGGCUUGCACUUGGCUAUGAAAUAGCCAAGCUGAGCAGGUAAGAGAAGAGGCAGAACUCUGGGCUGUUUCAGCAGGGCCCAGGAGCCCCACCCUCUCCUGCAGCAACAUGUGCAAGGUAUUGUUGCCCUUUCCCUUAGUAAACAUCUAAAAUUUACAGGUAGUUAACCCUCAUGGAUAACCAUGCAUCUAAUUGUAACAGACUGAAUUGUGGGUAAUGGCUUCUGAGAAAGCCUGCACCUUUUUUAGGAGGGCGACCUCUCCAGACUGCCCCAGGGAUAGACAAAGGAGAACUGGUGGGCAAAGUCCAGACGCUAGAGGCAUUCCUUGGCCAUUGCCACUUGGCUCACAGUACCCUCCCAUCUUGCCUUUGCCUUCCCACCUGCUACAGUAAACCUCAAGAACUUGUUUGCCCUACCUGUCCCCUAAUGUGAAUCUCUUUACUUGAGAUUGGAGGACAUGUGGGAGGAGACAUCUCUAACACCCUCAGUAGGUUGCCUGGUGAUCGAUCUGUCAAACUGAAUGACCCUGUUGAUUCCCUGGUCAUGAAUUCACAUGUUAUCUUUUUACUGUGAAGUAGGUCCCGUUUGCAUGCUGUUGAAUUGGAUCCCAUACCUGUGGUUCAGGCAUUCUUUAAGGAACUAAGUCAUGAUAAUAUAGGCCAAGGCACUGAAAGGCAUAACAACAAGUCCAUACCCAGAAUUCACCCCUGUUGGGAUAGACCACUAGCUACUCCAAAAUGGAAAGAGUCCAUGUUAUUGACCAGGUAUCUGAUUUGUCUUGAGUAAUACUGCAGUAUUGAGAACACAGUGUAGUCCUCUGCUCCUAUCAGGUUCCUUAGAAACAGGUGUAGAUAUGGAUUGGCUUUUGUAGCUGGGAAUUUAUGUUGUGACUCACAUAUAGCCUCCUGUGCAAACAUGACAACUCAUGUGUUGUCUUAGUGACAGUUCUAGAGUAGGCCAUGACAAACACUUGCUUAACACCAACUGAUAGAAUCCUUUGUCAGUAUGAAUUUUUCUGUUUCUCUUUCAUGAUGGAUGUUCUAGUCAGAAUGAACCUGUCAUUAGCCGCUAAGCAAGACAGGCACCAUCAGGGACAGAAUCCUAGGUUGAUGCACCUUCAGGGUAUCCUUUCUUUAUUUGCAGCUAAGGCUCUAUGGCUUAAGAGCAUUCCUUGGGGCGUGUCUACUCAUUAGUUUUUGCUCUGCAAGCUCCAGAAUGUGUCUACUAUAGCCUCUUUUAAAACUAUGACCUUAAACUGAAUCUGCUCAGGGAUGUACUCCUUAACUAAGCCUGCCCCUUGCUCAGUCCUGGGCCAAUCCUUACGUGAAUGUGUAUAGGCUCUCGGAAUACAAUUCCCAUGCUUGCUUUAUUGGAAGAUGUUUGGAAAGAACACCUUUGUUCGCCCUUAUCUAUUGCAAGUAAUCUUUCUCUACUCUUUUUAUAUAUUGACUGUGAUUAUUUUGGCUUGCACUCAAUGAUAUGUGACCCCAUUAUAUUUGACUACAAUAUAAUAAAAAAGAUCCUCACUCCAUGUGACCACAUAUCUCCAUUUCUAUACCUCUCUUCCUUACCUCAUUGUCUCUGACCUUCCAGUCUUCUCUGCUGAGAAAGUCUAUACAGGAUGAUCAUGCCAUCAAACACUUGAAACUAACAACAGUAACAAUGAGAAACUGAAGUGGAAAUUUAAGGGCUCUUUGGAAAGUCAUCUGUGUUGAUGGUGUUUUGCUGGGGCAGACACGUGCAGUACCA